CCCCGCUCUGCAGCAUCCUGCAACAGAACAGGAAUCCAUACCAGCUCCAGAAUUCUCCCCUGCGGGCAGCUUCCGGCCUCAGAGAAACAAAGUAGGGGGGAUUGCGAAGGAUCAGCACCUCUUCUGGGGCGAACAGAAGGGGGGGGUCUGGUGUAGAUUUAUCUGCUCCUUCCCUCCAUGGAAAUUCAUCAGCGAGCACUGCCUUACGUCCCUCUCACAGGGUUUCUUUCCCAGGAGCCGCAGACAACGGUGGUUCUGAACUUCUUAUCAUCCCAAACCAACUCAGACAACAAGAUUUCCACAGUAACUGCUUUGCAGUGCUCAGACCUUCAACAUGGGAGCAGAGAUGCCAAAGCUUGUUCCCUCAAAACAGAAGGUGUCCUAAUUAUUAAAAGGAAUGGCCUUCCUGCCUGUGAUGAUCUGUCUAUUUGUGUAUAAAAUCCUACAACUGUGAAAGGCCUCGUGCACCGCAAAAGGGAAAGGGGGGAGAGAAAAGAAAAAAAAAAAAAUCAAAGUGCUCAGUCAAGAUACAUCAGAGAGAUUACACAAGAAGAGAAGCAUAGUUUUCGAGCCCCCAGAAUUCUUGACCAAAGAAGUAGUUAGUCCCAGGUCUACAUCAAAAGAAAGCGGCAUUCUGUGUCAUUGCUAAGACAUUUCUGUGAUGUUUUGCCCUUAGUCUCGGAGGAAUCAAAAGUCACAUUAAAAAAAAGGGCGGGGGGGGGGGGAAUAGACUAUCCCUUUAAAAUUAGAUCAUCGCUCUGUAUUAAUAUGCAGAAUGAGUUGUCAAUUGACCGAGCAACAAAUGUACUUCCUCAUAUCCUCAUUUUCACUUCUAUCUAUGAAUAUUUUAAAACCCUAAUGUGUGCCUGGCCAUUUGGGUUUUAAGCGAAGACUUAUCACAGUGUAAAACCCUUCAUUUUUAUCCCUUAGCGGAGGGCUUCUUUUUCCUUUUUCCAGGGUGUCAUUAAAAAUCUGAUGCCAAGAGCCGGGACUUGGCAAGGUUUGCAAUAUAAUUUGCAAUCUGCAGUGUUUGCUGGCUAGCCCCCACCUGCCCCCCCCCUCUUUUUUUUUUUUUCCCCCUUACCAGCCUGCCCGCUAGAGUCAAUAGGGGGCAUCGCUCAUCUGUCUAAAAGAAAAAUAGCAGCAUACUAAUUAGAAUUCUAUUUGCCAGAAGCCUCGGAGUUGCUGUGCUUAUAGAUUUCAAGCUUCUUUUGUUUGAAUUAAAUUGCCAACUUUUUUUUUUUCUUCCUUCUUUGCAGUAGCAUGAGAGAGCGG